UUCCGGUUGAUCCUGCCGGAGGCUACUGCUAUCGGGGUUCGAUUAAGCCAUGCGAGUUAAAUGUUCUUCGUGAACAUAGCGAACUGCUCAGUAACACGUGGAUAACCUACCCUUAGGACCGGAAUAACCCCGGGAAACUGGGGAUAAUACCGGAUAAGCCAUAGACGCUGGAAUGCCCUAUGGUUCAAAGCUCCGGCGCCUAAGGAUGGAUCUGCGGUCUAUCAGGUUGUAGUAGGUGUAACGUACCUACUAGCCGACGACGGAUACGGGUUGUGAGAGCAAGAGCCCGGAGAUGGAUUCUGAGACACGAAUCCAGGCCCUACGGGGUGCAGCAGGCGCGAACACUUUACAAUGCGGGAAACCGCGAUAAGGGAACCCCGAGUGCCAGCAUCAAAUGUUGGCUGUCCAGAUGGUUAAAAAUCAUUUGUUAGCAAGGGCCGGGCAAGACCGGUGCCAGCCGCCGCGGUAACACCGGCGGCCCGAGUGGUAGCCGUUUUUAUUGGGUCUAAAGGGUCCGUAGCCGGCCUGAUAAGUCCUUUGGGAAAUCUGACAGCUUAACUGUCAGGCUUCUAAGGGAUACUGUCAGGCUUGGGACCGGAAGAGGUAAGGGGUACUCCAGGGGUAGGAGUGAAAUCUUGUAAUCCCUGGGGGACCAUCUGUGGCGAAGGCGCCUUACCAGAACGGGUCCGACGGUGAGGGACGAAAGCUAGGGGAGCAAACCGGAUUAGAUACCCGGGUAGUCCUAGCUGUAAACGAUGCUCGCUAGGUGUCAGACACGGUGCGACCGUGUUUGGUGCCGCAGGGAAGCCGUUAAGCGAGCCACCUGGGAAGUACGGUCGCAAGGCUGAAACUUAAAGGAAUUGGCGGGGGAGCACAGCAACGGGUGGAGCGUGCGGUUUAAUUGGAUUCAACGCCGGA
rnacentral:rRNA from 1 species